rnacentral:rRNA from 1 species
UACGGAGGGUGCAAGCGUUAAUCGGAAUUACUGGGCGUAAAGCGCACGCAGGUGGCUGAGUCAGUCGAUUGUGAAAGCCCUGGGCUUAACCUGGGAAUUGCAGUCGAUACUACUCAGCUAGAGUAUGGGAGAGGGUAGUGGAAUUCCCGGUGUAGCGGUGAAAUGCGCAGAUAUCAGGAGGAACAGCCGGUGGCGAAGGCGGAUCUCUGGGCCUUACCUGACGCUCAGGCGCGAAAGCUAGGGGAGCGAACAGG